CGAGACGGGCCUGCAGGCCCGCGAGGCCUUGGCCGUGGAAGACCCCGCAGCCCGGUUCUCCGCGGGGUCACGACCCUGGCGUGACUGUGGGAGUCCUCGGGCCAGUCCCUGUGCACGAGCCACGUCGUCUCCUCCCCGAAAGGGGCUUCCCCGGGCGCCUGGGCUGGAACGGAGCGCUGAGAGGGCCGCUGAAGCAUCCGGUGCCGCUCUCCUUCCCUCCCGGACCAGAGGGGCAGAGAGCUCCGGCGCUGCGAGGAAGCUCCGGGCCAAAGCUUUAGUCAUUUAGAAGAGCCCCAGGUUCCAUGUGGGCAUCAGACAGCAGGGACACAGGAUGGAGUAACACGUGACCCUGCUCUGGAGGAGAUCAGGGGACAGGAGGACCCUGAGAAGUGGAGGACCCACCUUUAGGAGUCAAUGGCAGGUGAGAAAACAGAGGCUCAGAGAACAUGUAUCACUCGCCCAAGGCCCCAGAGCUAGCCAGUGUCUGUCACCAAGGCCCAGUGUUCUGACUCACAGGAUGACUGCGUGUGUGCCCAGGCUGUGCCAUGCCUUACCAGAGGUGCAA
ensembl:lncRNA